GUGGAGGGAGGGGGGACGGAUAGCAUUAGGAGAUAUACCUAAUGUAAAUGUUGAGUUAAUGGAUGCAGCACACCAACAUGGCGCAUGUAUACAUAUGUAACAAACCUGCACGUUGUGCACAUGUACCCUGGAACUUAAAGUAUAAUAAUAAAAAAAUUAAAAAAUUGUAAAAUCAUUUAGUAUUAGUUACAAUUACUAACUAUAAAAAUAUCAUAUGAAAAAAUAGAAAACCAUACAGAGAUGAAAGAAGAUGGGUUUUAGAUUUUCAAAAAGGUGUUAUUAGAUAGCACAUUACAUACUGAUCACUUGGAGAGUCAUGGUAAAGUUCACAGUUCUGAGUUCUGGCAAGGUUUUGCUCAGCAUCCUACCAACUGGACUUUGAAAAGCAGCCUAACCAUGCACUACAGCACAACCAGACUUCCUUCCUAAGGCAAAUAAUGAGUAAUUGGUUUAGCAUUGUCUAAGUGUGUACAGAUAUGAUUAACUCUUUUAAUAUGAAGUGAGUGGGUGCUUGCUUUGCCAGCACAUAUACUAAAAUUGGAACAAUACAGAGAAGAUUAGUAUGGCCCCUAUACAAGAAUGACAUACAGGGCCAAGUAUGGUGGCUUACACCUAUUAUCCCAGCAGUUUGGGAGACUGAGGCGGGUGGAUCACUUGAGGUCAGGAGUUCGACACCAGCUUGGUCAACAUGGUGAAACCCCGUCUUUACUAAAAAUACAAAAAUUAGCUGGGCAUGGUGGCGCAUGUCUUUAUCCCAGCUACUUGGGAGGCUGAGGCAGGAGAAUUGCUUGAACCCGGGAGGCAGAGGUUGCAGUGAGCCAAUAUAGUGACCCUGCACUCCAGUCUGGGUGACAAGAGUGAGACUCCAUCUCAAAAAAAAAAAAAAAAAAACAGAAUGACAUACAAAUUUAUGAAGUAUUCCAUAUUAAAUAAUAAUAGUUAUUAUUAUUAAAUAUAAGUGAGUGGAUUUAGGAAUACUCAGGAUUUAAACAGGCUUACCUAUAUAAGAUAUACAUAGAAUAAAAAAUAGUGCCUUCAGGUAUUUCUGAAACUUUUCUCAAUCUAUGAUGUGAUUAGUUACCUGCUUCUUCUAUUACUGCUCCUAACAGUUUAACGUUAAACUAUUCACAGCACAUAUACUUGUAGCUAUAAAUGUCAUAUGAAAUUUUUUUUAAGAGAUAGGGUCACACUAUAUUGCCUGAGCUGGUCUCGAACUCCUGGGCUGAAGUGAUCCUCCCAUCUCAGCUUGCCAAGUAGCUGAGAUUACAUGUGCAAGCCAUUGUACUUGAUCCAAAAAUUCCAAUGACUAGAAAUACAACUUUAAAAUGUUACCAUUAAGAUCAUUUCCAUUGGGUAGAACGUGCACUAGUCGGGCAAGAGGUACACUAAAAGCCAGGCUUCACUACUUUACAAUUCAUCCAUGUAACCAAAAGCCACUUGUACCCCUAAAACUAUUGAAAUGAAAAUAUUUUUUAAACUAAAACAGUAAUUUCCAAUGACUGUAUUAACUCAAUUUUUAGAGCAUGAAAAAAAUUAGAUCAAGCCAUAUGAAGUAGUUUAUCGGCUAUAAUUAGAUUUAUAUCUUCAUUGUGGGAAUUGAAAUUUCUAUUCACAGUACUAUACUUUGGAUUUACAAACUGUAAAACUGAGAUUCCUGUACCACAAAUAUUUUGUGAAUAAAAUAAUUUGAAUUCCUAUAAAAAUACCAAUGAGAGUUGAUAAUGAUGGGAAGAAAGUGAUUUUUAAGUUCAUCUUUAAAAAUAAAUGAAAAUAGCUAUAAUAAUAUCUCAGAACAGUAAUAAAGGGAGAUUUACCUUUGAGGAAUUAAAAGGUAUUACAAAAAUAUAGAAAUUAAAACAACUAGCGGAAGAAAGAGUAGGACAAGCUGUAAAAGCAUAGAGCCCUGAAACAUACAUAUUAGAAGUAACGUAUGGAAGAAAUCAUUAAAUAACAGAAGAACUUUCACAAAUCAACAGAGUUCAGCAAGAGAUGCUGAGUAAGGGGAAAUUCAGAA
rnacentral:lncRNA from 10 species